UACGGGGGGUGCAAGCGUUGCUCGGAAUUACUGGGCGUAAAGGGUUCGUAGGUGGUGCGGCAAGUUGGAAGUGAAAUCUCUGGGCUUAACCCAGAGGCUGCUUUCAAAACUGCCGCGCUCGAGUGCGAGAGAGGCCAGUGGAAUUGCAGGUGUAGCGGUGAAAUGCGUAGAUAUCUGCAGGAACACCCGUGGCGAAGGCGGCUGGCUGGAUCGCAACUGACACUAAGGAACGAAAGCUAGGGGAGCAAACAGG
rnacentral:rRNA from 1 species